GGGCGGGUGGUGAAAUGGCAGACACGCGAGACUUAAGAUCUCGUGCUUGUUGAAAGCGUGAGGGUUCGAAUCCCUCUCCGCCCACCA
rnacentral:tRNA from 4 species